AAGAAAAAAAAAAAAAAAAGGCAAGAAGAAAGAGCAACCUUGCACUUAUUGGGUGUUGAAUCCUUGACUUGUUAAAGAAGAAUUCCUCCUUUUACCGCCUGUCCACAUCCCAUCAUUUGCUGUAAUUGUGUAAAUAAUAUAUUUAUUUACUUUAGAUGAAAUUAUACAUUUUUAAUUUUAUUAGUAUAAAUUUUUAUCUAUUUAUUAUUAUAUAG
rnacentral:misc_RNA from 1 species